UCGGGUUGUUUGGGAAUGCAGCCCCAAUCGGGCGGUAAAUUCCGUCCAAGGCUAAAUAUGGGCGAGAGACCGAUAGCGAACAAGUACCGCGAGGUAAAGAUGAAAAGGACUUUGAAAAGAGAGUCAAAGAGUGCUUGAAAUUGUCGGGAGGGAAGCGGAUGGGGGCCGGCGAUGCGUUCCGGUCGGAUGCGGAACGGAGCAAUCCGGUCCGCCGAUCGAUUCGGGACGUGGACCGACGCGGAUUAAGGUGGUGGCCAAAGCCCGGUCUUUUGUUAGGUCGCGGAGACGUCGCUGCCUUAAUCGUGGUCUGCAGCACGCGCCUUCACGGCGUGCCUCGGCAUCUGCGUGCUCCGGGCGUCGGCCUGUGGGUUCCCCAUUCGACCCGUCUUGAAACACGGAUGAAGGAGUCUGACAUGUGUGCGAGUCAACGGGUGAGUAAACCCGUAAGGCGCAAGGAAGCUGAUUGGCGAGAUCCCUCACGGGUGCACCGCCGACCGACCUUGAUCUUCAGAGAA
rnacentral:ncRNA from 1 species